UGUCAUCUUGAAGGUACAUGAGAAGCUGAAGGCAAUAAUAUCAAUCUCAACUCUACAGCUGCUGAGCCAUGAAGCCAUUUGGAGAUGAACAAAAGUGCAACACCUGAGUUAUUUGAAAUUCAGCAGCACGCCAUUGAUCAGCCAUGAACCAGAGCCUGUCAUGUCACGUCAAGUGAGGUAAGAGCUGUGUGGGCUGAAUAGGUGGGGAGGGACUUUUAAGCUCCGGAAGGAGUGCCUUUAAAUAUUUUCUUUGCCUGUGAA